UACGUAGGGUGCGAGCGUUAAUCGGAAUAACUGGGCGUAAAGGGUGCGCAGGCGGGCUUUUAAGAGAGAUGUGAAAUCCCCGGGCUUAACCUGGGAAUAGCAUUUCAGACUGGAAGUCUAGAGUACUUUAGAGAGGGGUAGAAUUCCGCGUGUAGCAGUGAAAUGCGUAGAGAUGUGGAGGAAUACCGAAGGCGAAGGCAGCCCCUUGGGAAUGUACUGACGCUCAUGUACGAAAGCGUGGGGAGCAAACAGG
rnacentral:rRNA from 1 species